GUGCAUAUUGUGUUGUAAACAAACGAUUUUGAUCAGUUUGUGACCAAGCUUUCAUGAGGAAAGAUUUAGUGAGAGAGUAAAUCUAGAAUGUUAUUCAUUGAUUUAUUUUUUUUGAGAUCCAAUUGUAUCUUUAGUUGCAUUUUAUAGUACAACUGACUAGCAAUUCAAUGUUAAUAAAUGGUAUUAGAACUAGACACUAAACUAAUUUGGUGAAGAUCUUACUAUUGAAUUGUUGAGACAUGAAAGGAAGCUUGAUUUUUAGAUCCCUAUCCUCGAUUGCUCCAACUACGCAUUUUAAAAAACACACAUGAUUACAUUUAUUAGUUUCCUCGAUAAGAAGACAUGGAGGACAGUGCUUACUAGUUGAGAUCCACCGGCAAUUGAAGUUGACGGUGUAAGGACAUCCAAGCCAUAGACUACCUAUAUUAUUAAGAUAAGGUAGGCAACUUCAACUCCAAGACGUUAAAUGUCGUCUUUAAUGGAGUAGAGCUCCAGGAAUUAAAGAGACUAUUGUUGUAGGCCAAUUUUGGCCCAAAUACAACCAAAUACUCACCCCAAUUUCAUCAGCCCAACAUCAUCAAACCCAAUCUAAACCAACAGCCCACCUAAACUAACCUACUAAACAUUUUCCAGCAAAGAAAAAACACUAGCCACCUCCCCACUUUCCUCUGACACCAGCCACCAUCACCUGCUCCACCAGUCACCCCCAUACCCUGCAAAAACAGAGCAAACAAGCAAGACGGGAAAAUAUGGCAAAAGUAAUAAAAAAAUUUGUAAAAGAUUACUAUAAAAAGCCAUUCAAAAAUGCUGUAAAAAGGGGGGUUUAUUUUUUUUUAAAAGAAAGAUUGUAACACAGAUAUUGGAAAUAAAAACGGAUACAAAAACAAAAAAAGAGAAGGAAGGUUCAAGAGGUUUAGUUUUGUUCUUCUUUUUUUUUUCCCUUUUUUCUUCUUUUUGUUCUCUGCUUACCUUGUUUUUUUCAUAUUUAUUCAUUGUUUUUUUUUCCUUUUCUUUUUUCAAGAAAACCUUUUUUUAACAAAGAAACAUAAAAAAUUUUAAAGUAGGCGUACCUAGGUUGCGCUCCUUCGCUGUACACGGCGGUCACCGCCGUCGUCGUUGGCGAUAGGGCGGGUCUCUAAGGAACCCAAUCGACAGAAAGAAAAAGGGGGAGGGGAAGAGAGCAUGGAAGUUUUUUUGUUUUUUUAAGAUUGGGGGUUGAAAAUGAAACACAAAAAAAAAUCUUUGUUUUUAAAUAAUGGUGUUGAAACGGCAUUAUUUUGUUUGGUGGGUGGGGUCUGUACACUUUCUCUAAAAGGGAAAUUUAUGCGUUUAGUCCUACUCUCUCGCAACCUCAUUCAAUUAACCCACAUUUUCUAUAUUCUUUUGUUUUUUAAAUUUGGCCCUCAGAUCUUGUUUGGUUUUCGUUUUGAUCCCUAAUUAAUUAUCCAAUAUUUAUACUUUUAUAUCCCGAAUUUUAAUUUGUUUUUAGCCAUGUCCUAAAUCUAUUUAAUUUAUUUAUUAACCUUUUUUUUAAAAUGUUUCAUUUAUAUGUUAUUUCAAAUAUUUUAUAUGUUGUUUAUUUACAUCAUUAUUGUAAAUAUUUUAUAUACAUAUUUUUUUGUACAUUUCCUAAUAUUUUCUUUUAUUGUAGAUAUUAUUAUUAUAUACUCUUAUUAUAUGCAUAUAUAUGAAGUAUCUUUUAUGUACAUAUUAUUUUAUAUUAUUAUUACCAAAUAUAUCAUUUUUUCUUAUUAUUAGUACAUGAUUUGUUUUUAUUUUCUUUUUUUGCAAAUGUCAUUAUUAUUGUUAUAAUAAUUUCUAGUAUUCCAUGUUAAAAUUUUUCAUUAAUGAUAUCAUUGUUUGCGUCGUUUAUCUAUUUUUAAAUUCUCACUUUAGAAAUAUUUUUUUCUUAUGUUUUAAUUAAUUUCAAUAAAUAAAGCAACGCGCCGAUUUAACAUUAAGUCGUAGAUUUCAUCGCUAUGUUGGGUGGAAUUUGUCAGCUCGUGCUAAAGACGGAACACCCUUCUAAAAAACCAAAAAAAAUAAAAACUAAAAUUUUUCGUCUUUUCAAUCGGAUCACGAUUAAAUAUUACAUUGAACUCGCAUUUUUGAAAAUCAAGACAACACGUGUUUAUAAGAUACCAAUUUUGGGCGUCGCGAGGGUGCUAAUACCUUCCCCGCGCGUAACCGACUCUCGAACCUUAUUUUUCUCUGGACUUUUGACGUAGACCUAAACUCGGCCUUCCUUUUGUUUUAAAAAAUAAAUCUAAUAGGUGUCCGAUCACACCUAGGAAAAAGGAUCGAUGGCGACUCCCUCUUUAUUUUAAAAUCAAACUUCAGUUUUCAAGUUUUCAAUAAAUCGCCACAAUUAGCGACCAAAUCUAAACAUUUUUACGUCGCUACAGCUGGCGACUCCGCUGGGGACUUCUAUUUUUGAGAGUCGAGUUGAAUUAAACGCGUGUUGUCAAAAUUUUCAAAUUUCCGUAUUCAAAUUAAUAUUUAAUCAUGAUCCUUAAGUUUUGUUUUCGAAAAAAAUCAUACAUACAUAUCUCCUAAUUUGUUUUAUCUUUUGUUUUUCAGCUUUAAGUUUUACAGUUUUAGUUUUGUAGUUUUAAAAUAAAUGAAAGGUUUGCAAGUUUCUCCCUACGCACCGUGCACUUGCAUUUCGCAUAACAUGAGCUCUCAACCCGGGCCCCGUCCGUUUAAGUGAAAGUAAACGCUACGCCUUCGUGGGUUAACUCGUCCCUCCGCACAGGCUAGUGAAUACUUUCGGGUUACAUACAACUUAUGCUUUCGUGAGUUAACUUGUCCCUCCGCAUAGGCAUAAGUAAAUGUAAUCCCUCGAAUUGAACUCGUGUGAUGGGCUAUGACCGAGGCUUCGUACUAAUCUUAGCAGAUGACAGUACGGACAAUUCGAGUACCUAUCUAGAACCAAAACCGCAUAUAAUGAACCAUACGAGCCACCUAACUAGAGCCAUGCUAAACCUCCAUCCGUUUAGUAGUCACCAAAAUAAGCGCACGGGAGGAACGCCUCUUGCCUUUUGCAUUUUCACUGUCUAUACGAAGGGGAUUGAGUCUGUUUAAUAAACUAGAUUUGGGUAAUUUGAUUCGUUCAAUUUUUCAUAUUUUUUCUGUCUGUAUUUAAUUACUAAUCAAGAUUAUUUGUCUUUGCCGUAUUGUUUUUCAUCAUGCAUUAUAGGCAUCAUAUUAGAAAGGUGUUGACUAAAGAUCGGUUGCCAAAAAAUGGGUUUUUAAUGGAAGAGUCAAUUAUACAAACAACCGAGGAAAAUGCCGUAGUCCGAGAUUGGUCUCUAAAAACUCAGAAAGAAAAAGGGGAUAGUCUAGUGGAGGGAUGUAUUGCCAAUUUGCCCGAGCACGUAACUGUAAAUGUUCGCCAGAAUAACCUUGAAGAUUUGGUUCGGGUUUGGAAUCAGUGGGACUCGGAUACUAGAGGUAUCUUCGCCGAGAGAUAUGGAGACAUAGCCAACUUGAUUGCUGUCAGCGUAGACGAACGAUUGAUCCAAGCCAUGGUUAGAUUUUGGGAUCCAGCCUACCACUGUUUUACUUUCAAUCAGGAAGACAUGACCUCGACUAUAGAAGAGUACACUGCUUUGCUCCGUGUCGAUAAUAUACAACCUUAUAAGAUAUAUGUGCAAGAGCCUAAGCCAAUGACCUUCAAGAAAAAGUUAGUAAGAGUGACAGACAUGACUGACGCGUGGCUCGAAAAAUAGAUAAAGAAGAAGAAUGAAACCAUUUGUAUCUCAUGGUCUUCCCUACGAGACUUGGUUCUAAACCAUCCCGACAUGUUGAAAAGGGUAAAUCUGUUCGCUCUGGCCAUUUACGGUUUGAUCAUCUUCCCGAAGGUCCUUGGACACAUAGAAGUUGCGGUGGUAGAUUUCUUCGAAAGAUUAAAACAAGGAAUCAACCCCGUCCCAACUAUCCUGGCCAAAACCUUCAGAUCACUAAGUAGCUGUAGGAAGAAAGGGGAAGGCCGAUUUAUCGGAUGCGCGCAGUUACUUAAUGUUUGGAUUCUGAGUCACUUCUGGAAAGUAGAGCGCGCACCGUUCCAUAUGUUUUCUAAAACAUUCUCCCCGUUAGAAGCUUAUCUCAAGAAAGAAUGGCCGAAGGAGAUCACUGAACAACACUGGGUCUCAGUCUUUUAGAAUCUUCGCGCCGAUGACGUAACUUGGAGAGCCCCGUGGAUACGCCCGUUAGUUCUGCUAUACAAGGUCAGAGAUCAAGAUUGGGUGCCACUACUCGGAUUAUGGGGAGGAGUCGGAUAUGCCCCAUUAUUAGUCCAAAGGCAAUUUUCUUCGCGGCAAUUCAUACCCGCCACUGGCGGAUUGGCACAAUCCGAGUUCGCUUUCGCGGGUGAAGGAUAUAUGAAGAAGGUCUGAGACAAUGCAAAAUCUUAGAAGAAAAUUCAUCUAAUGGAAUUGGCCUUAUAUGCUGAUACCCUAACUCAAGAUUACGACAUAUGGAGGAAGCAACGGAUAAAUAGUCAGCAGAUUUCAUUAACAACUCCACCGUCCAGAAUCCUUUCUCAGAGGAAAUGCCGUCUGAGCUAGAAAUAGCAAGACAAGAAUUUGAACGAGAAAAGGCCAAGAUGUCUCGGGACCUUAAUGGCCUUCAAGAAGAAAACUACCAAUUGAAGAUUGACAUUCAGAUUGAAAGAUCCAAAAUCGAGAAAGUGCAAAAAGAAGUUGAAGUCGUGAGAAAUGACUUAAGAGACCUCCAUCUGGAAAAUAAAAAGUUAAGAGGCACAAUGAAAAAUAGUGGGCUGGGCAAGUCAUCGGCAGAAUGGAAAGAGGAGAUAAGCAACAUUAAAGGAGGGAUGGAAUUUUGGAAAGGAAAAGCAAAGAAAGAGGAAGAAAAGGCUGCACAGGCUAUGAUAGAAUUGAGGAAGAAGAACGCCGAAUAUGAAGUAGUGUCUGCCGAGGUGAUGACUAGUCGAUCUAAACGUCAAGAACUAAAAGAAAGGAUACGAGAGUUAGAAGAUAUGCUGCAAGAUCGUCAACAACAGUUAGAUACUCUCUUGAAGGCUUUGGAAGAAAAAGAUUGUCAGUAUGAUAGAGACAUUCGUGCUUGCGAAGAGGGCCUCCAGGAAAAAAAAGGCAACUUAGCUAUUUGAUCAAUAAAGUUCGUGGGGUAGCCAUGCACGUGGUACAAUUAUCGGAAGAAGCUAAAAAUCUCAGUUACCAAUUCCCACCAAGCCAACGAUCGAGCAUAUCGAAAUUCCUAGAGCGAAUAAAGAAAUAUGGCGAUAUAGCUAGAAAGUUUGUGUAAUAGCUGAAUCAAAAAUGGCAAAAUGUUUUGUAAUGAACUCUUUUGAUGAAUGAAAUGCCUAAAUAGGGGCUAUCUUGAAAUCAACACCAAUUCCUUACAUGUCAUUCAUGACUAAUAUCCAUUUGACAUUCAAGCAUUCAUGCAUUUAUUCAUUCAUUCAUGGCAUAUCCCGUACUCAUUUGCUGAGGUUAAAAUGUACAAUUCGCAGUUGUAAUACUUCAAAUCUGGAACCACGCCACUCGUAUAGAACGCGUCGGCAAACUAGAACAAUGGAGGCUGAAUUCAAUGAAAGGAUUGAAAGAAUGGAAAGAAUCCAAAAGGAAUUACAAGAGCAGUUGGCUAGGUCACAGCAAGAGACGAGAGACUUAAUGGUGAGAUCACAAGAAGAAUCGCUCGAACAGAAGGAUCAAAUGGCCAAGAUGAUGGAGAUGAUGUCAGCUUUAGUUAAAAGAAAUGGACCCAUGCAGAGCCCUGACAUCGAGGAAUCUUGGUCAAGAGUUAAUCACAAUCAAGACUCGCUCUAUCCCCCUGGAUUCACUCCACCACACGCCCGCGCAGCACAAAGAGGAUACACCCAAGGAGAACCCACAGACCCAGAGCAACGGUCGGUGCCACAUACUCAUUUAGGGCAAGGAAUAUUCAUAUCAAAUUCUGGAGCUAAUCCCGCCAAUCCAAUUGUUCCAGAUUUGGACGAUCUAGCGGAAAUAGCCAGGUUGAGAACGGACGAUCAUGAGGCUUAAGAGAAGUAUAUGAGCUUAGAGGAAAGACUCAAAGCAAUAGAGGGUACUGAAGCUUUCUCUGCACUAAGUGCCAAAGAGCUCAAUUUGGUGCCCGAUCUAGUUCUGCCUCUGAAGUUCAAGGUGCUUGAUUUCGAAAAAUACGAUGGCACGAGAUGUCCAAAGGCGUAUCUUGUCAUGUUUUACCGAAAAAUAACUGGUUACGUGAAUGAAGACCAACUACUCAUACAUUGUUUUCAGGACAGUCUAGUAGGAUUGGCUCUUCGGUGGUACAACCAGCUUAGUAGGGAAAGGAUCCGAUCUUGGAAAGACUUGGCAUCAGUAUUCUGUGAGCAAUACAAGCAUGUAUCGGAUAUGGUACCAGACCGAAUGACUUUUCAAAUGAUGGAGAAAAAGCAGUCAGAAACUUUUAGACAGUAUGCGCAGAGAUGGAGGGAUGUCUCAGCCCAAGUGGAACCCCCAUUAACGAAAACGGAGAUAACCGUUCUUUUCAUCAACACUUUGAAAGCACCGUUUUAUGAUAAACUAGUGGGAAGUGCCACGAAAGACUUUGCGGAUAUUGUAAUAUCCGGUGAGCUUAUAGAGAAUACCGUUAAGAGCGGUAGAAUGGAAGGUCAAGAAAGUUCAAGAAGGGCAGCGCCCAUGAAGAAGAAAGAACCAGAAGCCUACAUGGUGGGAAUGGGAAGCCGUUAUGCCCCUAACCUUUAUUCAAACCAACCCCGACCUCAAAAUUAUCCUCCUCUGAAUUUCUAUUAUCCUCCUCAAACCCCUUACUACCGAGCACCACCUCCUUUCUACCCCGUAUAUGCCAUGAACAACCAAAGGCCCGUCACUACAUUCCCACAAAAUACAAUACCCGCCCAAGGUCAACCCAAAAAUGAGCAGAGGCCAGCAAAACCCUAUUCUGAGAAACCACAAUUUACCCCUAUUCCUGUGUCAUAUGGGGAGCUGUACCCAAAAAUUUUGGAGAAGCAAUUAAUAUCCCCGCAUUAUAUGGCACCCUUGAGGCCCCCAUACCCGAAAUGGUACGACCCAAACACUAGUUGUGCAUACUAUGCAGGAAACCAGGGACAUUCGACGGAAAAUUGCCUAGCCUUUAAGAGGAGAGUUCAAGGACUAAUUGAUGCGGAUAUCCUACGAUUUGAUAGUGCCUGUAAUGCAACUGGGAACCCGUUCCCUAACCAUACUGAAGGAAAUGUGAGCACAGUGGGGAAAGAAGAUGAAUGGCAAGUUAGAAGAUGUGUUUCAGAAAUAAAGACGCCUCUGCAGAAAAUCUGGGAGGCACUGGUUAAGAAUAGAUUGCUCUGUCACCUCGACGAUAAUCUCAAAAAAGAAUGUCAGGUUUUUUGUGAUUUUCAUGGAAUUGUAGGGCACGGCAUUCAAUCAUGUGAGGAAUUUAAAAGGUUAUUGCAAGACCGGAUAGAUAAUAAGGAGAUUGUGUUCAUUAAUCAAGGAGAGGCCAAUGAGAAAGAAGUAUGUGCCUCUGACAAUCAAUCGUCAAGUUGUCCGUAUAGCGCCGAUCGACCAUUCGUAAUUUAUUACGAUGCAAGGAAGGAACCGGUGAAACCAAAAAUGAUGAUUGAAGUACCGUCUCAUUUCCCUUACAAGGACAAUAAAUCAGUACCGUGGAAAUAACGUUAAUAUCGUCACACCUGAAGAUGAAAAACCCAAUGCCAUGACUGGAGGCGUCGGGGAAGUAGGUCAUUUCACUUGUAGUGGAAGAUGUUAUUCGAAGGAGGUGAAGAAGAACAGUGACUUGAAACAGAAAGGAAAAGCACCGAUGCACAUGACCAAAGAAAAGCAUGAAACUGUGCCUGAACAAGAAGCUAAAAAGCCUAUGGACGAGGAGGAAGCACAGGAAUUUUUAAAAUUUAUCAAGCACAGUGAGUACAACGUGGUAGAACAAUUAAGUAAGCAGCCAGCACGAAUCUCGGUAUUAUCUCUGCUGUUGAAUUCAGAACCAUACCGGAACGCUCUGCUGAAAAUGUUAAAUCAAGCUUAUGUGGCAAACAAUGUAUCCGUUGAAAAAUGGAUAGAUGGAUGAACAACUUGAAUGCGGAUAAUUUCAUUUCCUUUAGUGACGAUGAAAUAUCGCCCAAUGGUAGAGGCUCAGUGAAAGCAUUGCAUAUCACAACCCGUUGUAAGGGCUAUAUAAUAUCGAACGUGCUCAUCGAUAAUGGAUCGGCACUCAAUGUCAUGCCUUUGGCCACACUUUCCAAGAUUCCGAUGGAUUUGUCCUAUCUAAGGCCCUGCCAUUCUACAGUAAGGGCAUUCAAUGGAACAAGACGAGAAGUUAUGGGAAAACUCGAGAUCCCUCUAGAAGUGGGUCCCUACAUAUACAAUAUUGAGUUUCAAGUCAUGGACAUUACACCAUCAUACAAUUGUCUCUUGGGAAGACCUUGGAUCCAUUCUGCUGGAGCAGUACCAUCAUCCCUCCAUCAAAAGGUGAAAUUUAUCAUGGAUGGUUGUUUGGUCACUGUCUAGGGAGAAGAAGACAUUGUCGCAUCUAUCUCUGCUGAUGCACCCUACCUCGAAGUAAGCAAAGACGCAGUAGAAUGUUCCUUCCGAUCCAUUGAAUUCGUCAAUGCCACAUUCGUCGCUGAGGGAAAUAGAAUUCCCGCGCCAAAACUAUCGAGAAAUACCAAGAUGGGUGUCAAAUUGACUGUAGCAAAGGGAGCCCGAGCAAGGAAAGGUUUGGGAAGGUACCUGCAAGGAAUAGUCAGGGCUCUAAAGCAAGUACACCACAAGGCCCGAUACGAUUUAGGGUUCCAGUCGGACAUGCGUCAAAGAAGAAAGCAGUGGAAGUAAGAUCAGGAAAGAAGGAUCGCAAGAACACUAGGCCGAGAACCAGAAUGAGAGCCCAUGGAAUUCCCUCCUUUGUCAAGAAUAUUUACGUCUACAGGAAUGAUAUACCCAGGGCAGUAUAGUGCACAAAGCACAAUGUUAAUGAUCGAAGAGGGUUUUCAGAAUAUCAGUAUAAAUGUCAUUGACAAAGGAGCUGACGCGAGUAAAGACAUCUCAAAGAUACGCCCUUGUCCCCCGGGUUUCAUGUUAAACAAUUGGACUGCCCAGGAUCUUCUUGUAGUUUAUAAGUCUUCAGAGUAAUGCUCAAACGUUAACAUUCUGUUAUGUCCUCAGAUAUAAUAGAAUUCUUUUUGUAAGAGCUUGUAUUCGCUCUUUAUCAUUUAAAUGAAUAUCAAUGAAGAUGCAUUUUGUCACGAUUUUUUCGCAUUAUCACUAAUUCCAUAAUCAUUUUGUAGCCUAUCUUUACAAUUGCCUCACGUCAUACCAUAACAUUCAGUUUGUUGAUUUCAAUACUUAGAUGCCCCUCUAUAGUUUCCUUUUCCAUUCAACUUUCAGGUGCUCAGAUAUCAACAGCAUGAAUAAACCCGUUACGAGUUCUGAAAUCGAUUUUGAGAAGGCUAUUUGUUUAGGAGAAUUUGAAGUCGAAAAAAAUGCUGAAGACUAUGUCUCGUCUCCUGACUUGCUAAGAAUGGUGGAACAAGAGGAUAAAUAGAUUUUGCCUCAUCAAGAAUCUGUUGAAACAAUAAAUCUGGGAACUGAAGAAAGGAAGCAAGAAGUGAAGAUUGGGACUUCUAUUUCAGGGGGCAGCAGGCAUAAUUUGAUUGCUUUGCUCCGCGAGUACAAAGAUGUAUUCUCAUGGUCAUAUCAGGACAUGCCAGGAUUGGAAGAAGAUGUAGCGGUCUAUAAGCUCCCAUUGAAGCCAGAAUGUAAGCCUAUUCAACAAAAGCUAAGACGGAUAAGACUUGAGAUGUUGUUGAAGAUAAAAGGGGAAGUCAAGAAGCAAUUUGAUGUUGGUUUCCUACAAGCCUCCAAAUAUCCAGAAUGGGCGGCUAACAUAGUCCUGGUACCAAAGAAAGACGACAAAGUGCGAAUGUGCGUGGAUUAUCGUGACCUGAAUCGAGCAAGUCCUAAAUAUAAUUUUCCCUUACCACACAUUGAUACGUUGGUGGAUAACACAGCAAAACAUUCAUUGUUUUCUUUCAUGGACGGAUUCUCGGGGUAUAAUCAGAUCAAGAUGGCCCCUGAGGAUAUGGAGAAAACUACCUUCGUAACAAUGUGGGGAACAUUCUGCUACAAGGUGAUGCCAUUUGGGUUAAAGAAUGCUGGGGCAACAUAUCAGAGGGCUAUGGUGACGUUAUUCCAUGACAUGAUGCAUAAAGAAAUAGAGGUCUACGUCGACGAUAUGAUUGCUAAAUCCCGAGGGGAAGAAGAGCAUGUAGUGAACCUGAAGAAAUUGUUUGACAGACUGAGAAAAUUCCAACUAAAGCUCAAUCCGGCCAAAUGUAUGUUUGGGGCUACCUCUGGAAAAUUGCUGGGCUUCAUUGUCAGUGAAAGAGGUAUCGAGGUUGAUCCAGAUAAAAUAAAAGCUAUUCAAGAGUUACCACCUCCGCGCACGCCAAAGGAAGUCAGAGGAUUUUUAGGGAGGUUAAACUACAUCGCCCGAUUUAUCGCUCAACUUACCAACCAAUGCGACCCAAUCUUUCGACUCCUUCGAAAACAUAAUCUCGGAGAAUGGAACGAGGAGUGCCAAGUGGCUUUUGACAAGAUAAAACAGUAUUUGUCUAAUCCUCCAGUGCUAGUACCGCCAAUGCCGGGAAGACCAUUGAUAUUGUAUUUGACUGUGUUCGAGAAUUCAAUGGGUUGCGUACUGGGGCAACACAACGAGUCAGGAAAGAAAGAAAAGGCGAUCUACUACUUCAGCAAAAAGUUUACUGAAUAUGAGGCAAAGUAUUCGUCCAUAGAUUACUGCAACGCUCUGGUUUGGGUAGCUCGGAGACUCAGACAAUAUAUGUUGUAUCAUACGACAUGGCUAAUUUCAAAGUUGGACCCAAUAAGGUACAUGAUGGAAUCACCUGCACUCUCAGGAAGAAUGGCACGAUGGCAGAUCUUACUAUCAGAAUAUGACAUCAUCUAUGUGAGCCAAAAGUCGAUAAAAGGGAGUGCAAUAGCUGACUUCUUAGCAACUCGAACAACGAAGGAAUAUGAGCCAUUGAAAUUUGAUUUCUCAGAUGAAGACUUAAUAUGCAUUACAGAAAAAGAAUGUGAGUCAUCAAAAGAAAAGUCAUGGGGAUGAGCUUUGACGGUGCAUCGAAUGCAUUGGGGCAUGGGAUUGGAGCAGUCUUAGUAUCACAAGAAGGGAACCAUUAUCCGUUCACUGCCAGGCUGAAUUUCUUCUGUACCAAUAACAUAGCAGAAUAUGAAGCUUGUAUCAUGGGACUUCGUGCAGCAAUUGAACAAAACAUCCAAACUUUAGAGGUAUACGGAGACUCAGCAUUAGUGAUUUAUCAGAUCCGUGGAGAUUGGGAAGUGAGGGAUUCAAAAUUAGUCAAAUACAGUGAUCUCGUGGCAGGGUUGAUUAAAGAAUUCAAAGAAAUAACUUUUAAUUACUUUCCACGAGAAGAAAACCAAUUAGCUGAUGCCCUGGCCACUUUGGCUUCAAUGUUUAAAGCAAACAGAGAAACAGAAAUAAUGCCUCUUCAAAUGAGUAUAUAUGAAGCCCCUACAUAUUGUUUCAGCAUUGAGAAAGAGCCAGAUGGGCAGCCAUGGUUCCAUGAUAUCUUAGAAUACAUCAAGAAUCAAAGGUAUCCCGAGCAAGCAAAUAUGAACGACAGAAGAACAAUCAGAAGAAUGGCAGCGGAUGGGGACAUCCUAUACAAAAGAGGAAAAGAUCAGGUGCUCUUGAGAUGCGUGGAUACAGUUGAAGCCAGAAAAAUACUUAAAGAUGUCCAUGAAGGAAUUUGCGGGACACAUGCCAAUGGUUUCACUAUGGCCAGGAAGAUUAUAAGACUCGAAUAUUACUGGCUGUCGAUAGAAAGCGACUGCAUUAAUUUCGCACGAAAAUGCCACAAAUGUCAAAUUUAUAGUGAUAAAAUUCAUGUAGCCCCUUUGCCCCUUCACGUCAUGACUUCUCCGUGGCCUUUUUCUAUGUGGGGCAUGGACGUUAUAGGGCCUAUUUCCCCAAAAGCUUCCAAUGGACACCGGUUCAUUUUUAUGGUCAUUGAUUACUUCACAAAAUGGAUAGAAGCUACAUCGCUUGCCAAUGUGACGAAGACUGCGGUUUGCAGGUUUUUGAAAAAGGAAAUCAUUUGUAAAUAUGGUUUUCCUAAAAGAAUCAUUUCAGAUAACGCCUUAAAUUUGAACAACAAGAUGAUGAAAGAAGUGUGUGAGCAAUUCCAAAUAAAGCAUCAUAACUCCUCGCCCUAUCGCACAAAGAUGAAUGGAGCGGCCAACAAGAAUAUUAAGAAGAUUAUUGGGAAAAUGAUUGAGACAUAUAAAGACUAGCACGAGAAGCUACCAUUUGCUUUGUAUGCAUAUCGCACAUCUGUACGGACAUCUACGGGGGCAACUCCUUUCUCUCUGGUCUAUGCAUUGGAAGCUGUGCUACCUAUCGAAGUUGAGAUCCCCUCUCUACGAGUCUUAAUGGAGUCGAAAUUAGAGGAAGUAGAAUGGGUUCGAGCUCGAUAUGACCAGUUAAACCUCAUCGAAGAAAAACGUCUAAAGGCAAUUUGUCAUGGAAAAAUGUACCAGAAGAGAAUGACCGCGGCUCAUGACAAGAAAAUACGGCCAAGAGAAUUCCAAGAAGGAGAACUCGUGCUGAGAAAGAUUCUCCCAAUACAAAGAGACCUGCGAGGAAAAUGGGCACCGAAUUGGGAAGGACCAUACGUCGUAAAGAAGGCAUUCUCGGGUGGAGCUUUGAUUCUCACCGAGAUGGAUGGGAAGGAGUUACCGAGUCCAGUGAACUCAGAUGCUGUAAAGAAAUAUUAUGCUUGAAAAAGGAAACCAAGAUAAAAACCCGAAAAGGGCGUCUUAAAAAAAAAGAGAGAGAAAAAAGGGAUCAAGGUGAAAACCCGAAAAGGGCGUCUUGAUUAAACACAAAAGAUUAGGAUGAAAACUCAAAAGGGCAUUCUAAUGAAGCAAACCCGGGCUUAAAGAACAAGGCGUUUUGAACGGUGGGUCAAAUAGUGAGACUACAGUAUUUGAAGCAUUUCUGAAAGCUCGAAAUCUUCUACGCAAGAAGCCAUGCUCGAAAAGAUUCUUGAUUGAGAAACGUGGAAAAUUUCAUGCAUUAAAUAUCUAGAGCAUUUGUAUUCGUUGAAUGCAAUCCCUUUUCUCUUUAUGACACUUUUUUACUAUUAUUGGUUAACUUUCUUUGUUUACUACAUUUGAAAUGAAUAAAUACGAGGUAUCCUUUUGUCCCUACCUGACCAUUUUUUUCAUGCAUCUCAUUAUGUGGUCCGUUUACAUGAUAAAUAGUGAAAUGACAUACUCUAAACAAAAGAAAUAUUAAGCAUUACCCGGGUAAGAAUUUGAUAAGUACAAGAGCCUCAACGCAAGGACAAAAACUCAACCAGGGGCAAAAGAGCGAUAUCUGGGAAAUAUAGAUUAUUCGUGAAGCUUGAGGACAGGUACAGAACCUGAAGAGAAAGUCAAGAGUUGAAACAAUGAACACAUAUCAUCAAAAAUUGUGACGAAAAAGGGAUAUAUGACAGACAUGCCUAAAGCUCAUAUCAUAAUCAUGUAGGCAUAAAUGCAUUUAAGACAAACAUGUGCAUAUCAUGAUGACAUCAUGCAUGACAUAUACAGGUACUCCAGUAGAGUAAAAGGAUGUGAUGAUAGCUGAAAAGACACAUGAAUUCCACCAGAUGACAUGUUUUGGUAUUCUGAUGUUUUAUUUCUGUUUUUCAAAAAUCAACUCAUAUUGCGAGAGGUGAGUUGAGCCUCAGGACAUGCUGAGGUAAUUUCAAUUUCUGUUUUCUUCAAUUUAUGUUUUUCAAAAAUCAGCUCAUAUUACGAGAGGUGAGUUGAGCCUCAGGGCACACUGAGGUAUUUUCAAUUUCUGCUUUUCAAUUUCUGCUUUUCAAAAAAAUCAACUCAUAUUGCGAGAGGUGAGUUGAGCCUCAGGACACACUGAGGUAAUUUCAAUUUAUGUUUGUCAAAAAAAAAUCAACUCAUAUUGCGAGAAGUGAGUUGAGCCUCAGGGCACACUGAGGUAUUUUCGAUUUCUGCUUUCCAAUUUCUGCUCUUCAAAAAAAUCAACUCAUAUUGUGAGAGGUGAGUUGAGCCUCAGGACACGCUGAGGUAAUUUCAAUUUCUGUUUGUCAAAAAUCAACUCAUAUCGCGAGAGGUGAGUUGAGCCUCGGCUCACAUGCUGAGGUCUUUUCAAUUUCUAUUUUUCAAUUUCUGUUCGUCAAAAUCAACUCAUAUUGCGAGAGGUGAGUUGAGCCUCGAGGCACGCUGAGGUAUUUUCAAUUAAUGUUUUUUCAAUUUAUGCUUUUCAAAAAUCAACUCAUAUUACGAGAGGUGAGUUGAGCCUCGGGUCACAUGCCAAGGUAUUUCCAAAAUCUGUUUGGCAAAUUCUGUUUUCAAAAAUCAACUCAUAUUGCGAGAAGUGAGUUGAGCCUUUGCUCACGUGCUGAGCUAUUUUUCAAUUUCUGUUUUUAAUGUCUAGUUUUUAAAAGUCAAUUCAUAUUGCGAGAAAUGAGUUGAGCUCAGGAUCACACACUGAGUAAAGAACAAAGAUUGGAGCCGAUUGAAGGCACCAGAUUUUGUCUCCCUGAAGUUGUAGUGGAGCUGGUCGAGGAUAUCAGAUCUUGCCUUUCAGAAGUGGCAGAAGAGAAGACCAAAACCUUAUCUCACGGAAGCAAUAGAAGAGAAGAUUGAAGUUGUAGAUCUUAUCCUUCUGAAGUUACAGUGAAGCAGAUGGAAGCCACAAAUCUCAUAUCCUUGAAACUACAUUGAAGUAGAUUGAAGCUACAAGGCCCAUAUCAGAAGAUACAAUGAACUGAACCAAAGCUACAAGAUGCGAUGGACUAGUAAGAGACUGCCCGGAAAAGAAGAGCGCCAAAGAAGUCAACAAUUGGCAAGACCGGGCGAAAUUGGCCUUUCAUUAUGUCUUUGCUCUAUUCCCGUUACACGAUAAUGAGCAAAGAGGGGCAGCUGUUGUAGGCCAAUUUUGGCCCAAAUACAACCAAAUACCCACCCCAAUUUCAUCAGCCCAACAUCAUCAAACCCAAUCUAAACCAACAGCCCACCUAAACUAACCUACUAAACAUUUUCCAGCAAAGAAAAAAACCUUAGCCACCUCCCCACUUUCCUCUGACACCAGCCACCAUCACCUGCUCCACCAGUCACCCCCAUAUCCUGCAAAAACAGAGCAAACAAGCAAGACGGGAAAAUAUGGCAAAAGUAAUAAAAAAACUUGUAAAAGAUUGCUAUAAAAAGCCAUUCAAAAAUGUUGUAAAAAGGGGGGUUUAUUUUUUUUAAAAGAAAGAUUGUAACACAGAUAUUGGAAAUAAAAACGGAUACGAAAACAAAAAAGAGAAUGAAGGUUCAAGAGGUUUAGUUUUGUUCUUUUCUUUUCCUUUUUUCUUCUUUUUGUUCUCUGCUUACCUUGUUUUUUUCAUAUUUAUUCAUUGUUUUUUUUUCCUUUUCUUUUUUCAAGAAAACCUUUUUUUAACAAAGAAACAUAAAAAAUUUUAAAGUAGGCGUACCUAGGUUGCGCUCCUUCACUGUCGUCGUUGGCGGUAGGGCGAGUCUCUAAGGAACCCAAUCGACAGAAAGAAAAAAGGGGGAGGGGAAGAGAGCAUGGAAGUUUUUUUUUGUUUUUUUAAGAUUGGGGGUUGAAAAU
rnacentral:lncRNA from 1 species